rnacentral:lncRNA from 1 species
GGGGAGGGAAUGAACAGAAUGAAAAACUAUAGAAAGCAGCCUGAUGACCAGGGCCUUGGAUCUGUGCUCCGGCUCCACUCCAGCUCCAGCUCCAGGCAAAAACCUGUGGCUCCACUGCUCCGGAGCUGCUCCAUGCUCCAGCUCCAGGAUCCUCUUCAAAGCCAACCAUUCUAAUGAUAUGGUUUCCAGCCCCAACCACAGAUGGCUGAUUCUCAUCACAGCAUACAACCUGCUCUGAGAAGUAAGGUACAGUUGGCACCUUACCACCUAGAAAUAUGGAAUGGCCUAUAACCAAAGAACUCAAUUCCCCCACAUAUCCGGCAUACAAGAGAACUACUAAGCAGAAUAAGACCACUACAAGGAGGGAAUGAAAAGCACGCAAACGAAAAUGUACUCCAAACAAGCAGGUAAUGCAGAGACAACAGCACGCAAGGACUGGGUUUGAGAACCCUCUGCUAG